UAAGUACCGAUAGUUGGAAAGAUGACAAGAUUGAUGACUACAUAAAAAUGGUGCAUGACAUAUAUGUCGAAAACCUCCCUGAGCCUCAAAAGCCUAUUGUAUCAGAAGACACCACUAACAGUUCAAGAUCAUAAAAUAUGUUAGGAUGCCUCUCUUUUUAUUUUUUUGUUAAGUUUCGAGUCCGAUUUACACCCAUGUAAAAGCAACAAUAAGCCUAAUUGAAUCUUUACUUUUGCCUUAGAAAAGCAUUCUUGAUCUCAUUGUAUCAUAUUGCUAAUUCUCUAGCACUUCUCUCAUCAAGUUCAAUGCGCAAUAGCAUAUUGAUUUUUUGGGUGUAUGAGUUGUUUAUUCUAUCAUUGCCUCACAUUGAGAACCAUAUCUCUACUUAAGUUCGAGUUUUUUAAGGUAGGAUUUGGAAGUUUUAGGCCUGUACAUGGGAGUGAUUCAUGGCAGGUUUACAGUAGAAGCAACUAUUAAGAAUGUGCAUAGCAGUAGAGUCCAAGCACAGUUUCCUUUACCUUCACUUCUUCAACUUCUGAUAAUUUAAGAUAGUCUUUGCAUAAAUUCUUCUUCAUCUGCCUGACCUAGAUAACCCGGUCACCGGAUACAAUUCCAGCACACACGUUCUGACUUCAUUCCAACAGGAAUUUACUUGCUAUGCAAGUCCAAGUUUUCUUUGACAAACCCCAGGGAAUAUGUUAUUCAUGAAACAGAUAAGACAGUCUGCAGAAGCUUGUUGUUGGAAUAGAAAAUGAGGAGCAUUGUUCCAGGUAAUUGAAUGCGAGACAAUGACUUUGUAUUAAUCAAAUAAGACUUUAAGACAAAGGAAUUGUUAGUUCAAGCUACAUGCAUAACCCAGAUUUUGUUUCUUCCCACUUGUUUUUUCAAGCUGUGAUUAAGCAUAUAAUCAUUAAAUUAAUCAUAGUCAAAGACAAGACAAAGAGGUUAGAAACAGUUCACAGUGUGUCAUCUGAUAUUAGGUUCACCACAUGACAGAUCAAAGCCAGAGAAGAUAUGAACCAUCAAAUUUAUUGCCAUCUUCAUCCACAUCAUUAAUGUAUAUGAAUUUCAUAGUAUUUUCUUUCUUUUCAAGAAAAACAAAUAAAGAUAAAGAUGUCAAUAAGUAAGGUAUUAUUAUUUUUUAAUAUUAUAAUCUGAAUUUUAGAGUACCUAACUUAUAUGAAUACUUAAUUAAAUGUUUAAAUUAUUAUCCAAACCCGUGAAUGGAUAACAAUUUUAUUACUCAAAUCUUAUUCAAACUCAAUUAUGAAAUAUCUUAAUCUUAUUUAUUCAGAUUAUACAAUGUAAUUAAUAUCCUUAAAAAAGAUUGGAGACUGUUGAACAAUUCUUCCCAUUAAAAGAAACAAAGUUGACUUGGUUUGGUCACCAAGUCAUUAAAGCAAGUGGAGCUAUAAUUCUUUUUUAACUUUACCACAUUAAAUAUGUGUCACAUCCCCACUAAGCAAAAGGAAAAAUGGAAGUUGGAAAGAAAGCUGUACUUUCAUACUUUCAUAAAUAAAGGCACGCAGGAUACGAAGGCAGAUGCAGUGCUUGUGCCUUCCUCCUCUUUUUGGUAAUUAAAGAAAAUAAGAAAAAUAAAUAGAAAAGGAAAACCAAUAAUAGGAGUAAAUAAUAUCAAUUUUUGAAGAUAAAAUAUUUAUACUCUAUUUAGUUAUAUAAUUAAAUGAUAUAUCCGUUUGUAAUUAGUUAAUUUUAAUUAUUAAUGUGAUAUAUUAGUAUAGUAAAUUGAUAAUUAGAAUAAACAUUUGACUGGUUUGAUUGAAUCAAUUUUAAAUUUUUAAAAAUUAAAUUAAUUAAAAUUUUUAAUAAAUCGAUAUAAUAAAAAAAAGAAACCAAACCCGAUUUUCUUAAUUAUAAGUCUUGGACAAUGAAAAUCGAUUCUCUCAAUCGAUUUAUAUUCUUUUUUAGCAAAAAAGAAAAAAAUUAAAGGAGAACGAAAUUAUUUAAUUUAUCUUUUACUAAACUUUGCGAAAAUAGCUCUGCAGAGGGACCCCCGACAAACCACGUGUCAAUCCCUAAAACUCUUGCUAAAGUUUCUUGGAGCUCGCAUUUGUUUAGUUAUAUAAUUUAUUUUGAACCUGCAUUUUGUUUGGUUCUUGCAGAUUCUUAAACUCUUGUUAAAGUUUGUUCCACGCUUCCUUUACUGAUUCUACUAAAUAUAGUCUCAAACAUAGUUGCAUAAAUGAAGGAUAAAGUUUUAUAUCGCUUUGCUAUCUCUUCAGAGUACUGUUGAAUUUGAGUAAUUAUUGUAUUAUCUCAACGCAGGCUGCUCUUCCUCAUAUUCUAUGGCAUUUCAGAGGUUAUAUCCUUUGAGAUAGGCCCCCAUCUUGAUAGCCCAGAUUGAGUAAUUUUUACCAUCAAAGAUGGGUGGAGAUAAUAAAGAUUAGUAUUGUAAUUGUAAUAUUUUUGUAAUAGCAGUAGUUAGGUACUUUAGUGUCUUUUAUGUAAAUAUUAUAACAUUUGGCACUAGCAUAUAAAUACCAUAUUAUUGUAAAUAUUUAUAUAGAUGAUGAAAUAGAAUAACUUUUAAGCUCCUUUUCCCAAAUACUUUUAAGCCACCGUACUCUGUCAGGAGGUGGGUGAGGUACUGUAGGAGUUACUUGUUGCUGAAAAGUUGAGAAAUUUAAAGGAUGGUGGCUUGACUUAAGAUGUAUGGUGAGUUUACUAGUAUUUCAGGUCCAACUGAGAUCUUGCUCUCGCAAGGACUCUGAUACCAUGUUUAUAAUAUCAAGCAAGAACAUUAGCCUCUGUUAAAGGUCAAAAGAACAGAGGCAAGUAAGGAACUUAAUGAAAUUUUUAUAUAUUCUGCUAUGUCUACGUACACGAAAAUGACAGCUUAUAUAUGACCAACAAGAACACUUGUAUGAACUUAAUUACCAAAUGUAUAUAGAUAAACAUCAACAUACAUACAGACUUAUACGGACACCAGACACUAAGUAGCUUGCUAUAAGCUGAUUUAGUUUACAUCAAAAUAGGACAAGUGUUACAAGCCGUGCAGGUGUUACUCUUAACAUUUCCAAGCUUCUUCUAUUUUACACAUGUACAAAACACUUGUCAACCCGUCUUGAACUUUCUUUCACAUUUCACAGCUUUAAGGUAAAAAUCUGUGUUGGGUACUUACUAAAAACACAAACAAACUGAAAACUGUUACUGGGUGUUUUUUUUUUUGUUUUUGGUUUUGGUUGGUUACCAAGAAAAACACAAGAGGAAGUGUAUGGUUUAUAUAAUAAACUCUAUCCUACUAAUCCAAAUAGAUGUGGACUUGGCUUUGUAAAGGGUAGUGUUCUUUCGUCGUUUUUGUUUGUUUUUCUUGGAAACGGACGCCACAAGGAAAAAACUUGAGGUCGUGGUUUAAAUUUGAAGCCUUGUUUUCUUCUGUUUUCUUUGUAUUUAAUUCCAGACACAAGAGUUAUUGGCUUUUGGUGAUUGGUUUUGGUUUUGGUUUUUCAAUCUUCUCUCAUAUUGGCCCUUUAUUGGUAGGAGUUGAUAGCUUUGAUUUAUACUAGGAUUUUAGCUUGAGGUUUUUCUCUGUUUGGUGACUGAGAAACUUGCCGGAAAGAGAAGGAAUUUGAUAAUUUGAAGUCUUUGCAUUUGUUCCUUAUUUUGUUUUCAGUGAAACAGGAAAACUAUAAUCUUUUCUUUUUUCAGUUUUCUUGUAGUCAGGUGUUGAUACAAGAUGUCAACUUGCAGUUUCUCAGAAACUGAAGAAGUUUCUUACAUAAUCAAAUGAUUCCUACUGAAAAAGUUCUGUUUUUGCUGCGUUCAGGGGUAAUCUCCAUUUGAGUUUGAUUAAAAACUUGCCUUGACUUUGACCAUUGAUUAAUGGAGAGUUCUGGAAGUGGUUCUUUCUUGAGGAACAGAAGAUUAGGGAGCUUCCUUGAUAGAAUUCUGAUCCAAAUGUGAGAGAAACUCAGAAAGUUUCGAGCAAAGGAGGAGCAAGACAGAGGCCUAAGACUGAUGAUGCUUUUGUUGAUGAUGACGGAUGGAUUUGUUCAUUGAUAUCUUGUGUAAGGAUUGUUACAUGUUUCCUGACAAUGAUGGUCACAACAUUCAUUUGGGCAUUAAUCAUGCUCCUGCUCCUUCCUUGGCCUUCCCAGCGAAUCAGGCAAGGAAAUAUUUAUGGCCAUGUGACUGGUAGAUUGCUGGUAAGGUUUGUUUGAUUCCUUGUUUCAUUUUAAUAUGGUCAUGGCAUUGGUUUUUUUACUUUCUGGUGAUAUGAUAAGGUGGAAAUGGUAAGUAUUGCUGCACUAAAAGGAAAGUUGAGGAAAAGGAAAGAGAGAGAGAAACCUUAUCAUUUCAGAUACUUGAGACAUUUGAAGUAAGGCAGCCAAGUGGCUGAAGUAGAUGUUGUUGAUAAUGAUUUUUGUUUUCUUGGGGAUUUAAAUGAUAAAAACAAAGCAACAGUUUUUGUUAUGAGUGACCUGGUAAAACAAUCGAACAGUGCAUCAUUCAAGUCAUUUCUUGCCCUUUGAAUGUAUUUCUUAAGGCUGUUCCCUUUGACAUUCAUUUAUUUGAGGAAGAUGGUCUUGAUCUGUGAGAUGAUGAUUUUUCUGAUUACAAAUAUAGGUUAUUGAUUGUCCCCAAAUUUCUGUAUUUAUUUCUUUGAUUAGAACUGAGAGUUCACCACUUGUCAUUGGAAUUUAUGAGAGCUCAUAUAGAAAGUGUACAAUAAAUUGGUGUAUCUUUGAUGCCCAAGACAAGAAUGUUCUUUCUUUUCAGCUGUGUGGACAAGUCUGAGCAUGUACUCUAGCAAAUUUUGAUAUGUGGCCACAAGCUGUUAUAAGAUCUUGGUAUAUAGCUUCUAGCAGAGUCAUCCUAUUGGAAUUUGCUGGUGUGGGUCCUUUAUUCCUUUCUUUUCAUUUUUGUUUCUAGUUGGGGGGGUGGGGGUGGUAUUGGGACUUGGAGGAUGGAGGCUGGGGAUAGGACAGGUGGGACACAUGUGAUAGCAUUUGCAAAACAAAAUGAAAGGAUCAGAUAGGGUCCUAAUGAAGAGAAACUAUAUGUUUGGCAUUUAAUGUGCCUCAGGUUGUGAACUUCUAUAGUCAACUUGUCUCAGGAAAAAACUGCAGUCUGCCCUCCUUGUUCAAUUCUGUUUAAAUUGAGGAAACAGAUGAUAUCCUGUAGUGACUGUGUACAUAACACCCUACUUGCCUUCUUGCUCCCUGCUGAAUUAUGAUCUACUUGAACUGGUUGCAUUAUUGAAUGACAAAUAGUUUUAAUCACAAGACAUUAGGAAAGAUGUAUAAAUUAAUGAUCUCUAUGUUUACAAGUCCCCAAUUGAGCUUUAAUGAAAUCAAAGUGGUCCAUGAUCAAUAUCUUUGAGGACAUAGCAAGAGAUGAACAUUAGUUUAAACAGCUUGGCAGCUUCAUACAAGUUUUUACUGCCUCUAUAUUGACUGAUUUCACUGUUUACAGAGAAAGACGUAAUUAGAAAAUGCUACUCUUUGAUGCUUAAGAACUCAAAUCUUUAAGCAAGAUGCACAGUCUUAUUAUGUUUUUGUAAAUUUACAUGAAGGUUAUUCUAGAAAAUCUCAUAUAUACAUUAAAAAGUGAAUUAUUUCUACUAUUCGAAAAUUUCUAAUAUUGAUUACUAUUUGCAACGAUUGAUUGCAGAUGUGGAUCUUAGGAAAUCCUAUAAAGAUUGAAGGAACAGAGUUCUCCAAUGAGAGAGCCAUUUAUAUCAGUAAUCAUGCAUCUCCCAUAGACAUUUUCCUCAUUAUGUGGUCCACUCCAACAGGAACUGUUGGCAUUGCAAAGAAAGAGGUGCAUUUUCUCUGUGUCUCACCCUUUUUGCUUUUUGUGGCUCAUUAGUGGUUUAAGCUUAGGAGAUUCAGUUUCACAUAUGAAAUGUUUGUUUUAUGCAGAUCAUUUGGUAUCCCCUAUUUGGACAACUAUAUGUUCUAGCGAAUCAUCUGCGCAUUGAUCGUUCUAGCCCUAGUACAGCCAUUCAGUCCAUGAAAGAGGUAUCCUUCCCUACCCUAUAUCAUCUAUUAUGCAUUUUUGUUAGGGUUACUAGCUAAUGUUUUUCUCUUGCUCAGGCAAUUCAGGCCGUAAUAAAACACAAUCUAUCUUUGAUUAUUUUUCCUGAGGGCACAAGGUCCAAAAAUGGACGAUUGCUCCCCUUUAAAAAGGUAACACUCAAACCAUAUUUGCUUAUAAUCUUCUUCAAGUUUAUGAUGGAGAAGCAUUUUGUUGGAGGUAGAUCAUGCUUUUAUAUGUUAUCAUGAAUGUGAUGUGGUCAUCCCAUUGCUUAUUCCCUGUACUUCUUAGCACAGCAAUCUUCAGUAUUUCCUUUCCUGGUCUACAUUGCAGGGCUUUGUUCAUUUGGCCUUGCAGUCACACCUUCCAAUAGUUCCAAUAGUCCUGGCAGGUACUCAUCUAGCAUGGAGGAAAGGUAGCUUGCAUGUUCGACCGGCUCCUAUAUCUGUAAAAUAUCUCCCUCCGAUAAGUACCGGUAGUUGGAAAGAUGACAAGAUUGAUGACUACAUAAAAAUGGUGCAUGACAUAUAUGUCGAAAGCCUCCCUGAGCCUCAAAAGCCUAUUGUAUCAGAAGACACCACUAACAGUUCAUGAUCAUAAAAUAUGUUAGGAUACCUCUCUUUUUUUAUUUUUUUGUUAAGUUUCCAGUCCGAUUUACGCCCAUGUAAAAGCAACAAUAAGCGUAAUUGAAUCUUUACUUUUGCC
rnacentral:lncRNA from 1 species